GAUUUUGCAACAUUCUGAAAGAUGGGUAUCUUGAAAUUACCUAGGUAACUACCCGCAAGCACAAUUCUGACAUCGUUGGGCCUGAAUUCUGGAUGCAGAGGCUGGGGGCUGGUCAGCGAGGAACAAUGGUCAUUUGUGAAGGAGAGGACACUUGAGAGCUUGGUGUCUCUAUAACGGGAGGCAAAACCAUGUUCACCAAUAAGGUUUCAACCCUUUAUUUAGUGAAAUGAAGUGUUAGGGAACACAGAGGGGGUUUUUAAGAGCUUACACGUCCAUCAGAACCAGAGCCACGGUGUGGGAAGAGAACCGCAAGACAUUUCCUCAAAUACCUGUGGCUUUGUGCACUAACUCCUCCAGUCCUCACAACGGCCCAUGAGAACGGCACUUUUGUUUUAUCAUGGCCAUUUCACAGACACGGAACCCAAAUCAGGAGGAGCAACAACAAAAACAAACAAAAAAGAAACAAACAAGAACAUAGUUCGAAGGAGAAAUGACUUGGCACCUGAGUUCAAGACUGUCUUAACCCAGAUGAAGGAAUCAAAGACCAGGAACACAAGCAAUUUGGUUACAAAGAAUUACACAGAAGUGAAAUGAGAAUGGAAGCAAUUUCUUCUGAACCCUAGAACCACGGGGCAGCAUUACCAUGAAGUGACCUUAGAAUCAGGGAUGGUCUGAGAAAACAUCUUUAGCUGAUGUGAGUAAAAAGACAGCCAAUGUCUUUGAAAGACAAAACCAAACUAUGAAAGAUCUAGGAAAGGCUAAGAUUUCACCUUUUGGAAUGUCACCUUGACACGGAGCUUUAAAGGGGGCCAGGAGAGGCAAGGAAAAAAAAGAAAAAUUUUACACAAAUACUCACCUUCAUACAACUUACCAAAAUACGGAAAGAAGGCUUUUGCUUCAAGAAUGACCACAGAAGUGAUAAUUCCAAAGAAAAAAGUAAACAGUUUGAUUACCAAUACAAAAAUUAAUAAAUGGAAUAGCAUUAAGCAAUGCCAGAUUUCAGUGGCAAAACAGAUUCAGAAUUUAUACCCUGUGUUGUGCUCUGACCACUAAACAACAUACAGCUUCCAGAAACCACAGACUGCAUUAUAGCUGACAUCGGGGCUAUGCUGUUUGAGUUUUCUCAAAUCGUUGCAAAUCUCCAAAAAUUUUUCCAAUAUAAUUUUUUUAAAAAUUCUACAUACGGCUCAAAUCUGUGGAGUUUAAGUGUCAACUUCAUAGUGUCCUUGGUUAAAGACGACGUUGUGGAAAGGCACACGCUGACAAGAGAAAUUUCCUCUCCUCUCCAAGAAACCAGACCUGCCAAUAUGAUAUCAAUUAAACAAUCGGGUGUUUUGCUCUCCA